GCACUUCCAAUUGUUGAGCCAUUUCAAAAGGGCCUGAUUGAGCUCUUGAAUAUCUGCCAGCAUGUGCUUGUCAAGUUUGAGGUUGGCAUAAAGGACUUGAAAGAUCAAAAGGCAAGUGAAAACCAAACCCACGUUCUGGUCACACCUGUAGGGUACAAGCAGGACCACCCUCAUGAUGGUGCAGAACCCACACCUAGAAUUUGUGAUUGCAGCGUGUUCUGUCCUACAGGAAAAUAUGGUUCUAGCUGUUGACCCAUCACAGCUGUUGGAAUCUCUGAAAAUAUAUUCACCUAAUAAAUUCUCUGUUUUGUUUUC
rnacentral:lncRNA from 1 species